GAUUAUGGCUCAGAACGAACGCUGGCGGCAGGCCUAAACAUGCAAGUUGAACGGCUGUAGCAAUACAGCAGUAGCGCAAGGGUGAGUAAUGUAUGGGAACGUAUCUUUUGGUGGGGAAUAUUCUUUGGAAACGAAGAGCAAUACCGCAUAAGCCCUACGGGGGAAAGAUUUAUCGCCGAUUGAGCGGCCCAUAUUGGAUUAGCUAGUUGGUUAGGUAACGGCUGACCAAGGCUGUGAUCCAUAGCUGGUCUGAGAGGACGAUCAGCCACACUGGGACUGAGACACGGCCCAGACUCCUACGGGAGGCAGCAGUUAGGAAUAUUGGACAAUGGGGGCAACCCUGAUCCAAGCCAUGCCGCGUGAGUGUUAAGGCCUUCGGGUUGUAAAGCUCUUUUGUAUGGGAAAAUGAUGAUGGUACCAUAAGAAUAAGCACCGGCUAACUUCGUGCCAGCCGCUGC
rnacentral:rRNA from 1 species